GACGAACGCUGGCGGCGUGCUUAACACAUGCAAGUCGAACGGAAAGGCCCUGCUUUUGUGGGGUGCUCGAGUGGCGAACGGGUGAGUAACACGUGAGUAACCUGCCCUUGAAUUUGGGAUAACUUCAGGAAACUGGGGCUAAUACCGGAUAGGAGCUCCUGCUGCAUGGUGGGGGUUGGAAAGUUUCGGCGGUUGGGGAUGGACUCGCGGCUUAUCGGCUUGUUGGUGGGGUAGUGGCUUACCAAGGCUUUGACGGGUAGCCUGCCUGGGAGGGUGACCGGGCACCUUGGGACUGAGAUAGGGACCAGAAUCCUACCGGAGGCAGCAGUGGGGAAUAUUGCACAAUGGGCGGAAGCCUGAUGCAGAAACGCCGCGUGCGGGAUGACGGCCUUCGGGUUGUAAACCGAUUUCGCCUGUGACGAAGCGUGAGUGACGGUAAUGGGUAAAGAAGCACCGGCUAACUACGUG
rnacentral:rRNA from 1 species